rnacentral:tRNA from 1 species
GAUGAGGUAGCUCAGUGGUAGAGUGUGUGCUUAGCAUGCACGAGGUCCUGGGUUCAAUCCCCAGUACCUUCA